ACGGAGAUAAUAAUACAAGUAUAGACGAGGUCCGAAUUACGCCAGACGUUCUUUCUCCACACACACAUGCAUCCAUUCAUCUGGGCACACUGCAGUACUACAUCUACCUCAAGACGGCGAGAUUUUCUUUUCAUUUAUUUAUUUUUUAUACCUCCCAAUCUCCAUCCAAACCCUCUUUCCGGGUCGAAAGAGUUGAAAUAAUGCUCCCACGGUUGGAGUAGCCAGCAUCUUAGAGUCAGGGGGGAGGGGGGAGAGAAAACUCAUAAAACCUUAUAGAAGAAAGUGACUUGGAAAUUAUUUUGAAUAAAUCGUUUGCAGAUUUCGAACACUAAAUUUGAGAUGCGUUUCUCUGGAGGAAUUGGGUCAUAUCUCCUUCGAAAUCUGGUAUUGUCACGUGUUUAACCUUCACCGCGAUGAGUGGGGAACGAACAUUCCUUCCCCCAAUUUUAUUUACAGGAGGGUGAAGUUAAGUUUUGAAAACUUUAAUGGAAUGUGUUGGUAACAGAUUUUGGCAGAUGUUUUAAAUUGGAACAUGUGUUUGAAGGACUGCCGUUUUAAGAAAGGUGUUUUCUAUUAAAUUUUAAAGAAUUGGAUGUGGAAAGGGGUGUUAUGCAUCAACGGGUUUUAUUCUGAGUUCGAAAUUUUAUUGAAAGAAGCUAAGAUUGAACGGGCAAUUUGGAGGAAAUAUCAAGGAACAAGCAGAAGGUGAUGGUAUUCAUACAGAUCUUAAACAAGGAUUUAAAAACGCAUUUCAAAAUUAUGUAUUUAAGAAACCGUGUGGGUAAUUAGAAAGAGUAGAAACUUUGCUAAAAAAUUGCAAAGGUAUGGAAAAA